AUUGAACGCUGGCGGCAUGCCUUACACAUGCAAGUCGAACGGUGACAGGUCUUCGGAUGCUGACGAGUGGCGAACGGGUGAGUAAUACAUCGGAACGUGCCCGAGAGUGGGGGAUAACGAGGCGCAAGCUUUGCUAAUACCGCAUACGAUCUCAGGAUGAAAGCAGGGGACCGCAAGGCCUUGCGCUCACGGAGCGGCCGAUGGCAGAUUAGGUAGUUGGUGGGAUAAAAGCUUACCAAGCCGACGAUCUGUAGCUGGUCUGAGAGGACGACCAGCCACACUGGGACUGAGACACGGCCCAGACGCCUACGGGAGGCAGCAGUGGGGAAUUUUGGACAAUGGGCGCAAGCCUGAUCCAGCAAAGCGGCGUGCAGGAUGAAGGCCUUCGGGUUGUAAACUGCUUUUGUACGGAACGAAAAGACUCUGGUUAAUACCUGGGGUCCAUGACGGUACCGUAAGAAUAAGCACCGGCUAACUACGUGCCAGCCGCCGCCGUAAGAC
rnacentral:rRNA from 1 species